rnacentral:rRNA from 1 species
UGCCAGCCGCCGCGGUAAUACGGAGGGUGCGAGCGUUAAUCGGAAUUACUGGGCGUAAAGCGUGCGCAGGCGGAUUGUUAAGCAAGACGUGAAAUCCCCGGGCUUAACCUGGGAAUGGCGUUUUGAACUGGCAGUCUAGAGUGCGUCAGAGGGGGGUGGAAUUCCACGUGUAGCAGUGAAAUGCGUAGAGAUGUGGAGGAACACCGAUGGCGAAGGCAGCCCCCUGGGAUGACACUGACGCUCAUGUACGAAAGCGUGGGUAGCAAACAGGAUUAGAUA